GUCUCCUGGGGUAGCUCAGGCAAUGGAGCAUAAGACUCUUAAUCUCAGGGUUGUGGGUUUGAGCUCCACGUUGGGCA